UACGUAGGUGGCAAGCGCUAUCCGGAUUUACUGGGUGUAAAGGGAGCGUAGACGGCAUAGCAAGUCUGAAGUGAAAGCCCGUGGCUCAACCGCGGAACUGCUUUGGAAACUGUUAAGCUGGAGUACUGGAGAGGCAAGCGGAAUUCCUAGUGUAGCGGUGAAAUGCGUAGAUAUUAGGAGGAACACCAGUGGCGAAGGCGGCUUGCUGGACAGAGACUGACGUUGAGGCUCGAAAGCGUGGGGAGCAAACAGG
rnacentral:rRNA from 1 species